AUUGAACGCUGGCGGAAUGCUUUACACAUGCAAGUCGAACGGCAGCACGGACUUCGGUCUGGUGGCGAGUGGCGAACGGGUGAGUAAUGCAUCGGAACGUGCCCAAUCGUGGGGGAUAACGUAGCGAAAGUUACGCUAAUACCGCAUACGAUCUAAGGAUGAAAGCGGGGGAUCGCAAGACCUCGCGCGAAUGGAGCGGCCGAUGUUAGAUUAGGUAGUUAGUGGGGUAAAGGCUCACCAAGCCGACGAUCUAUAGCUGGUCUGAGAGGAUGAUCAGCCACACUGGGACUGAGACACGGCCCAGACUCCUACGGGAGGCAGCAGCGGGGAAUUUUGGACAAUGGGCGCAAGCCUGAUCCAGCCAUUCCGCGUGCAGGAUGAAGGCCCUCGGGUUGUAAACUGCUUUUGUACAGAACGAAAAGCUCUGGGUUAAUACCCUGGGGUCAUGACGGUACUGUAAGAAUAAGCACCGGCUAACUACGUGCCAGCCGCCGCUGUAA
rnacentral:rRNA from 1 species